rnacentral:rRNA from 1 species
GAUGAACGCUGGCGGCGUGCCUAAUACAUGCAAGUCGAGCGAACGGACGAGAAGCUUGCUUCUCUGAUGUUAGCGGCGGACGGGUGAGUAACACGUGGAUAACCUACCUAUAAGACUGGGAUAACUUCGGGAAACCGGAGCUAAUACCGGAUAAUAUUUUGAACCGCAUGGUUCAAAAGUGAAAGACGGUCUUGCUGUCACUUAUAGAUGGAUCCGCGCUGCAUUAGCUAGUUGGUAAGGUAACGGCUUACCAAGGCAACGAUGCAUAGCCGACCUGAGAGGGUGAUCGGCCACACUGGAACUGAGACACGGUCCAGACUCCUACGGGAGGCAGCAGUAGGGAAUCUUCCGCAAUGGGCGAAAGCCUGACGGAGCAACGCCGCGUGAGUGAUGAAGGUCUUCGGAUCGUAAAACUCUGUUAUUAGGGAAGAACAUAUGUGUAAGUAACUGUGCACAUCUUGACGGUACCUAAUCAGAAAGCCACGGCUAACUACGUGCCAGCAGCCGCGAUAAUACGUAGGUGGCAAGCGUUAUCCGGAAUUAUUGGGCGUAAAGCGCGCGUAGGCGGUUUUUUAAGUCUGAUGUGAAAGCCCACGGCUCAACCGUGGAGGGUCAUUGGAAACUGGAAAACUUGAGUGCAGAAGAGGAAAGUGGAAUUCCAUGUGUAGCGGUGAAAUGCGCAGAGAUAUGGAGGAACACCAGUGGCGAAGGCGACUUUCUGGUCUGUAACUGACGCUGAUGUGCGAAGGCGUGGGGAUCAAACAGGAUUAGAUACCCUGGUAGUCCACGCCGUAAACGAUGAGUGCUAAGUGUUAGGGGGUUUCCGCCCCUUAGUGCUGCAGCUAACGCAUUAAGCACUCCGCCUGGGGAGUACGACCGCAAGGUUGAAACUCAAAGGAAUUGACGGGGACCCGCACAAGCGGUGGAGCAUGUGGUUUAAUUCGAAGCAACGCGAAGAACCUUACCAAAUCUUGACAUCCUUUGACAACUCUAGAGAUAGAGCCUUCCCCUUCGGGGGACAAAGUGACAGGUGGUGCAUGGUUGUCGUCAGCUCGUGUCGUGAGAUGUUGGGUUAAGUCCCGCAACGAGCGCAACCCUUAAGCUUAGUUGCCAUCAUUAAGUUGGGCACUCUAAGUUGACUGCCGGUGACAAACCGGAGGAAGGUGGGGAUGACGUCAAAUCAUCAUGCCCCUUAUGAUUUGGGCUACACACGUGCUACAAUGGACAAUACAAAGGGCAGCGAAACCGCGAGGUCAAGCAAAUCCCAUAAAGUUGUUCUCAGUUCGGAUUGUAGUCUGCAACUCGACUACAUGAAGCUGGAAUCGCUAGUAAUCGUAGAUCAGCAUGCUACGGUGAAUACGUUCCCGGGUCU